rnacentral:lncRNA from 1 species
GUGGAAAUGGCGGCUGUAGCCGAGGGGGCGGCCGGAAAGCAGCGGCGGCGUCUGGGGCGCUUUCGCAACAUUCAGACCUCGGUUGCAGCCCGGUGCCGUGAGCUGAAGAGGUUUCACAUCUUACUCCGCCCCACACCCUGGGCGUUGCGGCGCUGGGCUCGUUGCUGCAGCCGGACCCUGCUCGAUGGGCACGACUGGGCUGGAGAGUCUGAGUCUGGGGGACCGCGGAGCUGCCCCCACCGUCACCUCUAGUGAGCGCCUAGUCCCAGACCCGCCGAAUGACCUCCGCAAAGAAGAUGUUGCUAUGGAAUUGGAAAGAGUGGGAGAAGAUGAGGAACAAAUGAUGAUAAAAAGAAGCAGUGAAUGUAAUCCCUUGCUACAAGAACCCAUCGCUUCUGCUCAGUUUGGUGCUACUGCAGGAACAGAAUGCCGUAAGUCUGUCCCAUGUGGAUGGGAAAGAGUUGUGAAGCAAAGGUUAUUUGGGAAGACAGCAGGAAGAUUUGAUGUGUACUUUAUCAGGUAAGCAUAUAAGAUGGUAAAGAUAGUACAGCCAAAUGAUUUUGUCUGGGCAGGUAGUGGGAGCAUAGCAGGAAUCUUAGCUUCUUUAUAUUUUUACCAUAAAACCAUUGCAGAUUCUAUUCUUUCAAUGUUGCUAUUAAUUACAUCAAGUGAUUUGGGGAAAAUUACAUACAUUUUGUCCCUCCUUCUGUGAAUGGUUAACGGGUAGGUUGCAUUUUAGUUAUAUUUAUAAAUUUAUAUUGUCAUAGAGGAAACCAUUUAAAAGUGCCAUUUAUCACUCUUUUUCAUUUUUAAAUGACAGAUACCUAUGGCAACAUUUGGAAAUUAAUUAGAAAUCUGAAAUGUGGUCCAGUUCUUUUAAAAGUCCCUUCUAUUUACUAGCAGUAAGUUUCCUUUAAUAUCAUUUUCUAGCCCACAAGGACUGAAGUUCAGAUCCAAAAGUUCACUUGCUAAUUAUCUUCACAAAAAUGGAGAGACUUCUCUUAAGCCAGAAGAUUUUGAUUUUACUGUACUUUCUAAAAGGGGUAUCAAGUCAAGAUAUAAAGACUGCAGCAUGGCAGCCCUGACAUCCCAUCUACAAAACCAAAGUAACAAUUCAAACUGGAACCUCAGGACCCGAAGCAAGUGCAAAAAGGAUGUGUUUAUGCCGCCAAGUAGUAGUUCAGAGUUGCAGGAGAGCAGAGGACUCUCUAACUUUACUUCCACUCAUUUGCUUUUGAAAGAAGAUGAGGGUGUUGAUGAUGUUAACUUCAGAAAGGUUAGAAAGCCCAAAGGAAAGGUGACUAUUUUGAAAGGAAUCCCAAUUAAGAAAACUAAAAAAGGAUGUAGGAAGAGCUGUUCAGGUUUUGUUCAAAGUGAUAGCAAAAGAGAAUCUGUGUGUAAUAAAGCAGAUGCUGAAAGUGAACCUGUUGCACAAAAAAGUCAGCUUGAUAGAACUGUCUGCAUUUCUGAUGCUGGAGCAUGUGGUGAGACCCUCAGUGUGACCAGUGAAGAAAACAGCCUUGU